rnacentral:rRNA from 1 species
UAAGGAAUAUUGGACAAUGGAGGCAACUCUGAUCCAGCCAUGCCGCGUGAAGGAAUAAGGCCCUAUGGGUUGUAAACUUCUUUUAGACGGGACAAAACCCCUUUACGUGUAAAGGGUUGAUGGUACUGUCAGAAUAAGCAUCGGCUAACUUCGUGCCAGCAGCCGCGGUAAUACGAAGGAUGCAAGCGUUAUCCGGAAUUAUUGGGUUUAAAGGGUGCGUAGGCGGACUAAUAAGUCAGUGGUGAAAGCCUGCAGCUUAACUGCAGAAUUGCCAUUGAUACUGUUAGUCUUGAGUACAGUUGAGGUAGGCGGAAUGUGUCAUGUAGCGGUGGAAUGCUUAGAUAUGACACAGAACACCGAUUGCGAAGGCAGCUUGCUAAGCUGUAACUGACGCUGAGGCACGAAAGCGUGGGGAGCAAACA